UACGUAGGGCGCAAGCGUUGUCCGGAAUUAUUGGGCGUAAAGAGCUCGUAGGCGGUUUGUCGCGUCGGCUGUGAAAUCCUGGGGCUUAACUCCGGGCCUGCAGUCGAUACGGGCAGACUUGAGUGUGGUAGGGGAGACUGGAAUUCCGUGGUGUAGCGGUGAAAUGCGCAGAUAUCAGGAGGAACACCGGUGGCGAAGGCGGGUCUCUGGGCCAUUACUGACGCUGAGGAGCGAAAGCGUGGGGAGCGAACAGG
rnacentral:rRNA from 1 species